GAUCAUGGCUCAGGAUGAACGCUAGCUACAGGCUUAACACAUGCAAGUCGAGGGGCAGCAUGAUCUUAGCUUGCUAAGAUUGAUGGCGACCGGCGCACGGGUGAGUAACGCGUAUCCAACCUUCCCUAUAGUAGGGGAUAGCCCGUAGAAAUGCGGAUUAAUACCCUAUGUUGUAUUUCGAUGACAUCUGACGAAUACCAAAGGUUCACCGCUAUAGGAUGGGGAUGCGUCUGAUUAGGUAGUCGGCGGGGUAACGGCCCACCGAGCCAACGAUCAGUAGGGGUUCUGAGAGGAAGGUCCCCCACAUUGGAACUGAGACACGGUCCAAACUCCUACGGGAGGCAGCAGUGAGGAAUAUUGGUCAAUGGGCGAGAGCCUGAACCAGCCAAGUAGCCGUGCAGGAUGACGGCCCUAUGGGUUGUAAACUGCUUUUAUGCGGGGAUAAAGUGAGGGACGUGUCCCUUAUUGUAGGUACCGCAUGAAUAAGGACCGGCUAAUUCCGUGCCAGCCGCCGC
rnacentral:rRNA from 1 species